rnacentral:rRNA from 1 species
AGCUCCAAUAGCGUAUAUUAAAGUUGUUGCAGUUAAAACGCUCGUAGUCGGAUUUCGGGGCAGGUUUGCCGGUCUGCCGAUGGGUAUGCACUGGUAGAACUGUCCUUCCUUCCGGAGACGGCGCCUACUCUUAACUGAGCGGGUGUCGGAGACGGAUCGUUUACUUUGAAAAAAUCAGAGUGUUUCAAGCAGGCAGCUCGCUUUUGCAUGGAUUAGCAUGGGAUAAUGAAAUAGGACUUUGGUGCUAUUUUGUUGGUUUCGAACACCGAAGUAAUGAUUAACAGGGACAGUCAGGGGCACUCGUAUUCCGCCGAGAGAGGUGAAAUUCUUAGACCAGCGGAAGACGAACCACUGCGAAAGCAUUUGCCAGGGAUGUUUUCACUGAUCAAGAACGAAAGUA